UACAGAGGUGGCAAGCGUUGUUCGGAAUUACUGGGCGUAAAGGGCGCGUAGGUGGUGAGGUAAGUUUGAUGUGAAAUCUCCGGGCUCAACCCGGAAAUGGCAUUGAAUACUAUCUCGCUAGAGAGUCGGAGGGGGGACUGGAAUACUUGGUGUAGCAGUGAAAUGCGUAGAUAUCAAGUGGAACACCAGUGGCGAAGGCGAGUCCCUGGACGAUUUCUGACACUGAGGCACGAAAGCUAGGGGAGCAAACAGG
rnacentral:rRNA from 1 species